UUUAGAGCAUGUUUGAGCCCUAUUUUAUUGAAGAAUGCAUUUUGGAAUAGUAAAUUGAUGGAGAAGUGUGGAUAAAAAAUAAAGAAAAGUUUUGGGUUGCGUGUAAUAUUAUUUUAUUGAAGAAUGUGUUGUUGAAAAGAAGAGAGAAAAAAAUGUAUUUUGGAAAUAAUGGGGAUUAAAUAAGGGCUUAAUAGCAAGCGAAUGUAAUUCAUACGGUUGCGGAUUGGCAUUUCUGGUUAAUUUUUGUUUUUGUGGCUUGGUUAUCUUAGUCUCCC
rnacentral:lncRNA from 1 species